ensembl:lncRNA
UGCCGGAGGUUCUAGAAUUGAGACCCUGUUGCCCAGCAACCUUGAUAAUACACAUAGAGUGACUUUUCCUCCUUCCUGGGCUUGCUCACUUCCUUUCCCUUUACCCCUGCUUCCUGGGAUCUCCUCCCAAACGAACGAGUCCUGUCUCAGGCUCUGCUUCUGGGGGAACCCAAGCUAAGAGAGAAGUGCUAUUAACAACCGGAGGAUCUGAAUGCCAUCUCUUACCUUUCAGAAUUGUCACUUACACCUAAACCAGAGAGGAGGAGAGUCCCAACGCUGGCUUUGAAACACCUCUGACCCACAGGAAAUGGCUGUUUUCAAGUGUCAGGAGGAAGCCCGGGGAGCUUGACUUGGAAAGACUUACAGUGCAGAGGACAGCAGACACAGCGGAGUGUGGGAGGUAAUGCCUGAAGCUUCACUAGAGGGAUUCAGUGAAAGUUUGCAGCCUGCCUGCAAGGACCUCCCCCAGAGCCUUCCUCAGGAGGCUGGCGGUCAAGCACGGACUCCCCAAAAGAAAGACUGGAGAGGAUAAGUACCCCCAGACUGACAAGUUAACGCGAAGGGCCGGCGCUGGCCCCCCAAGCACCUCUGCAGAGACCCGGGAUGCCAGGGAGGCCCAUUUACAAGCCAGCAAUUCCAAAGGUAUUAGCCCAGAGUCACGAGGAACCCCGGAACACAUCCAGCAGAUGAACCCCUUGGAGAUCAGCAGGUCAGUUAUACCCUCCCUGACCCCGAGUGAAGUUUACUUUUCCUGCCUCCCUGUACUUCAGGCCUCUGUUCAUUCUCUCUCCAAACCACCUUGCCCUUCACAAAGAGUUUCCCAAGCACUCUGCCGUGGAUCAUAAUGUACAUAACGGCUCUUCACGUGGACGUGUUGCCAGCUCAACCUCCUUAUAAGAAUUCGGGAUGCGUUACAGAAACACGGCUCUCCAAAACUUCGCGUUCCUUUAAAAUUUCAUUCUGAGGAGUAGUCAUGAGGCCUGCUCUCGCCACGGCCAAGUCCACCACAUUAAAGCAAAUGAAAACCUAACUCAGAUGAUUCAUAUAAAAUUAGUCUUUCCAUAACCUUUUAUAUUAUCAAAGUGCUUUGCCCCUCUGGUGUUGGUCUGUGUAAACCAAGUGAUUCAGCCAGCCAAAACAUCAAGGAGAAAGAUCCCACCAGGCUUUGAUUGAAUUACAUAGUCCAUUUUGUUGUUGUUGUUGGCCAUUGCUGAAGUUUUCGUAUGAAAUUAAAAUGAAAGAGCCUACCCCUCCCAGCUAACAUCUCUGUAAGAAAAUCAUUGGCCGGCCUUUGUUCUCCUCCCCUCUGUAGAGUGAAGGACCAAGCCCUCCCAUUUGGUUGCAAGGUGGCACAUUUGAGAGCUUUGUCCCAAGAUACAAGGUAACCCAAAGAGUAGGUCUUCAGCUUGGGUUCUCCCAGCAGCAGACCCUGAGGCAAGAAUUUGAGUGUAAGCGACCCUGGGUGGCUCAGUCAGUGAAACCUCUGACUUCAGCUCAGGUCACCAUCGCGUGGUGCGUGUUUUCAAGAUAUACAUCAGGCUCUCUGCUGUCAGCGAAGAGCUUGCUUCAGAUCCCUUCUCUCCCUCUCUCACUGCCCCUCUCCCCCU